CCUCCCGAAAUAGCAGUGCCUGCCUGGAAACCUCUCCCAGGGCUGGCGGGGCCCCCGGGCUGCCCCAACUCUCCCGGGGCUUUUCCCCAUCCCCAGGGAUGAAUGGGGUGAUUGUGGGGUGCCCAUCCCAACGCCAGGGUCGCAGCCACCCCCGUUGGGACAGGGACCACUGAGCCAUGUCAGUGCCCUGUGCUGUGGCUGCCCUGGCCUUCAGCCCUCUGCCGAAAGGGCUUUUCUGGGGCUUUUCUGGGGUUUUCUGGGUCCUGCUGCCUUGCCAAGGGCUCCGGCUUUAUCCAUCAGCUGACAUUCCUCCGGGAGGCCCCUCCAGGCCGGUGUAUCCUUACACGGUGGGGCCGCCUGUGGAGCCCCACUCCCGGCCCCCCGAGCCCACCAGAGGUGGAAGAUCCCGUGACGCAGCUCCCACUGCUCCAUCCCUUGUCCCCUGAGGGUCUUUCCUGAUGUGCAGCACUCAGCAGGGCCAGGCUGAGAUCCCCAGACUCAUCACAGUGAUGGCCAGGUGGGCUCCCCCCUGCUUAACCCCCUAGUGCAGGGUCUGCUCCCCUCAGCCCCGUCCAUGCCCCGGGGCAGCCCCCCCGCUCCGUCCCUUGUCCCCGGAGAGUCUUUCCCGGGGAGCAGCGCUCGGCAGAGCCAGGCUGAAGCCCCCCCAGACUCAUCACAUUGGUGGCUGAGACCCCCCAGACUCAUCACACUGAUGGCCAGGUGGGCUCGCCCCUGCUCCGCCCCCCACCAGCCCCCUCCGUGCCCCGGUGCGGGACCCCCGCCGGUGCGGGACCGCGGUGCCCCCGCCCGGUGCGGCAGGGCAGGUCCCGGCCGGCCCCGAUCGCGCUCUCGGGGCUGAGCCGCACCUCGGGGAGGGGCCGGGACGGGCAGGCGCACGGUGCGGCGGCACCGGGGCUGGCUCGGCUCGGCACGGGGGGAGCGGAGCGCCGGGCACCGGGGGCUGCGGCCGGUGAGCGGGGCUGCGGCCGGUGAGCGGGGCUGGGUGGCGGAGGGGCGAACCCUGCGGGACUGGGGGACACCGGCAACGCCGACAGGAAGAGACCGGGACCGGGACCGAGAGCCGUCCGCCCCCGCAGCUCCUCCGGCCGGAGGGUUGGGGGCGGCUCCGGCGGAGUUUCGGGGCCAGGACCUGGCGGGAGCGCCGGGAAGCACCGGAACGGCUGCGGCUGCCUACGUGCCAGCGAGCUGGACACGCGACCUGCACUGGGCCGGUGCCCAGAACCAGUGGAGGGAAGUGGGAUGGGAGAAGUGGAAAGAGGAACGUGGUAGCACACAGGGACAAGGCAAGGGGACAGCCCUGUCCCCCAGCAUCACCUCUGCCAUCUGGUCUGAGCCCACAUUUGAUGUUCCUGGGAAGCCGGCGGGCACGGUGCUGCUCCUGACACUGGAGGAAGGGAUCGGGACAGCCCCAGAGAAUUCCCAUGUUGGGAGGGAUCAUAUGGGGCACAGAGGGGCUGAGCCCCUCCUCAGCUGCCACCAACCUCCAGCCAAGCAUCCGAUGGGUUCACGUGGCUGCCUGGUCCCACCGGGGGCUCCCUGGCCAUGCUGGGUGAGCUCAGCUGUGCCAGCAGGGCAGAGCUCCCCAGGACCCCACUGCUCACCCUGGGAUGCACAGUGGGGACUAUGGGCAGGGAUGCUCCGAGCUGGGAGCUGAUCCACAUCCCCAGUCCCUGUGCCCU
rnacentral:lncRNA from 13 species